rnacentral:lncRNA from 1 species
UCACAAGGACAGAAACAUCAUUCCUCAUCUUUCCCCUAGUAUGAGGAAAGGAAUUAUGGUAUGCCAUUAAAUUGAGAAGAAAUAGAGUCUCAAAACUGAAGCCAUGCCAAAUGCUAUGGAGAAGCCACAGAGACUGGGGACAGAAUGGAAUUAUAAGACUUCUCUGCAAGGAAGUGAUUAGCAAUUAGGAAGUCGCAAAUGACCUUCCGAAGAUCAACGUGAGCAGUGGAUGUGUCAUAAAGUAACUGCAAUGGAGUGAAUAAAAU